GAUGAACGCUGGCGGCGUGCCUAAUACAUGCAAGUCGAGCGAAUGGAUUAAGAGCUUGCUCUUAUGAAGUUAGCGGCGGACGGGUGAGUAACACGUGGGUAACCUGCCCAUAAGACUGGGAUAACUCCGGGAAACCGGGGCUAAUACCGGAUAACAUUUUGAACCGCAUGGUUCGAAACUGAAAGGCGGCUUCGGCUGUCACUUAUGGAUGGACCCGCGUCGCAUUAGCUAGUUGGUGAGGUAGCGGCUCACCAAGGCAACGAUGCGUAGCCGACCUGAGAGGGUGAUCGGCCACACUGGGACUGGGACACGGCCCAGACUCCUACGGGAGGCAGCAGUAGGGAAUCUUCCGCAAUGGACGAAAGUCUGACGGAGCAACGCCGCGUGAGUGAGGAAGGCUUUCGGGUCGUAAAACUCUGUUGUUAGGGAAGAACAAGUGCUAGUUGAAUAAGCUGGCACCUUGACGGUACCUAACCAGAAAGCCACGGCUAACUACGUGCCAGCCGCCGCAGUAA
rnacentral:rRNA from 1 species